GGGUCAGUAGGUUGGUCGUGCCACCGGUACGUACUGGUCUCACUGAUUCCUCCUUCCUGAAGAACCGUAACGCCAUUAAUUUGGUGUUGCGGGGAAACAGGACUGUUACUUUGAAAAAGUUAGAGUGUUUAAAGCAAGCUAACGCUUGAAUACAUUAGCAUGGAAUAAUGAAAUAGGACGAUCGAUCCUAUUUUGUUGGUUUCUAGGAUUGACGUA
rnacentral:rRNA from 1 species